CAACAUCAACGAUUGAUUAUGACAAUGAUGAUGAUGAUGCAAUAUAUUAACCGGCAUUUAUAAGUGAAUUUAAUUUUCAUUCAAAUCAAAUUAUCAAUUUGAUCAUCAUCAUCAUCAUCGAUUUUGAAUGAAAUCCGAAUGACUAAUCAUCACCGUCAUCGAUCAUUGGUCACAAGUGUAUUGAAUCAAUGGAGCCAAGAAUGUGAAAAAUAUCGCAUAUACUCAAUUUUUACUGUGUGUGUGUGUGUAUCUGUGAACUGGACAGCAGCAGCAGCAGCAGCAGACGAUAUAUAUAUAUACGUGUUAUAUAAAAUCAUCAACUAUCGAAUCAUCAUCAUCAUUACACCUAUAGUGUGAUCAAUGUCUGUACAUUAAUCGUCAAAAUAAUCAAUUGAUGAGAAACGAAAAAAAAAAUUGAAAUUAGAAAUUUGAAUCGAAUAUAUGUCAUCAU